rnacentral:rRNA from 1 species
GGCGAGUAACGCGAUCGAACGUACCCCGAGGUGGGGGAUAGCGUCGGGAAACUGGCGGUAAUACCCCAUGUGCUCUUUGGAGGAAAGCUCCGGCGCCUUGGGAGCGGCGAUCGUCCUAUCAGGUUGUUGGUGAGGUAACGGCUCACCAAGCCUUAGACGGGUAGCGGGUGUGAGAGCAGGCCCGCCGCAUCGGAACUGAGACACUGUCCGGACUCCUACGGGAGGCUGCAGUAACGAAUCUUCCGCAAUGCACGCAAGUGUGACGGAGCAAUGCCGCGUGUGGGAUGAAGCGGUUACGCCGUGUAAACCACUGUCAGGGUCUAGGAAGAACUGACCAGACCCAGAGGAAGGGCCGGCUAAUCUCGUGCCAGCAGCCGCGGUAAUACGAGAGGCCCGAGCGUUAGGCGGAAUCACUGGGCUUAAAGGGUGCGUAGGCGGAUUGGUAAGCAUCUCGUGAAAUGCCUCGGCUCAACCGAGGAAUUGCGGGGUGAACUGCUUGUCUUGAGGAAGGCAGAGGUUGUCGGAACGCUCGGUGGAGCGGUGAAAUGCGUAGAUAUCGAACGGAACGCCGAAGGGGUAGCCAGGCAACUGGGCCUUUCCUGACGCUGAGGCACGAAAGCGUGGGGAUCAAACAGGAUUAGAUACCCUGGUAGUCCACGCCGUAAACGAUGUGCACUAGCUCGAUGCGGAUCUGACUCCGUGUCGGGCGCCGAGAAAUCAUUAAGUGCACCGCCUGGGGAGUACGGUCGCAAGGCUAAAACUCAAAGGAAUUGACGGGGGCUCACACAAGCGGUGGAGCAUGUUGCUUAAUUCGAAGCAACGCGAAGAACCUUACCAGGGUUUGACAUGCACGGAUUAGUCAUUGGAAACAGUGAUGACGCUCUUCGAGUGGAACGUGCACAGGUGCUGCAUGGCUGUCGUCAGCUCGUGCUGUGAAGUGUCGGGUUAAGUCCCUUAACG